GAUUGAAAUAUCUGACCGGUUUUUCAGGUCUAGAAGAUUCUUCUCCUUCAAGGAGGGGAGGCUUUUGGGUCCUUGAGCCAUUGCCGAAGAUACGCAGCCAAGUCCGCCCUAACUUCCACUUUGUCGGACCAACCAUCUCAUUUCCACCUUCCCGCAAAUCUUUCACGAUCUCAAGUUUCCUCUUCUUUUGAGGAAUUGAUUGAAUUCCAACCUAUUCUUCAUAUUCAGGGAUAUAAAUGGAUAUUAAUGAAAUUGUUGACACUACUCGACCCAAAAACCUCCCGACAAAGAGUGCAAUUUAUGUAUGGGGCUAUAAUCAGUCGGGGCAGACGGGUAGGAAAGGCAAAGAGUGCCAGUUAAGGAUCCCCAAGCAGCUUCCUCCCGAGCUAUUUGGGUGCCCGGCUGGUGUCAAUUCGCGUUGGUUGGACGUUGCUUGUGGUCGUGAGCAUACUGCGGCAGUGGCCUCUGAUGGGUCACUUUUCACAUGGGGGGCUAAUGGCUUUGGUCAAUUGGGAGAUGGAACUGAGGAGCCAAGGAAGCACCCUAAGAAAGUUAAACAAUUGCAGACAGAGUUUGUGAAAUCUGUAUCUUGUGGAGCACAUUGUACUGCUUGUAUAGCAGACACUCGUGAAACUGAUGGAACCGUCUCAAAAAGUAGGCUCUGGGUUUGGGGCCAGAACCAGGGAUCAAAUUUUCCUCGCUUAUAUUGGGGGGCCUUUCCUCCUAAUACGAUUAUCCGCCAAGUGUCGUGUGGGGCAGUGCAUGUGGUGGCCUUAUCAGAGGAUGGCCUACUUCAAGCAUGGGGUUACAAUGAAUAUGGUCAACUUGGCAGAGGUGUUACAUGUGAAGGACUACAGGGGGCUCGUAUAAUAAAUGCUUAUGCGAAGUUCCUUGAUGAAGCUCCUGAGCUUGUGAGGAUUACCGAUGUGUCAUGUGGGGAGUACCACACGGCGGCAAUAUCUGACAAAGGCGAGGUCUAUACUUGGGGUCUAGGAAAUAUGGGGCAACUUGGGCAUAAUUCUCUCCAGUCUGGGGAUAAAGAGCUAUUGCCGAGGAGAGUGGUUGCCCUUGAUGGAAUAUUCAUAAAGGUUGUCGCAUGUGGUGGUGUACAUACAUGUGCUGUGACUCUGAAGGGAGCUCUUUAUGCUUGGGGUGGUGGUCAAGUAGGGCAAUUAGGCCUUGGGCCCCAAACUGGAUUCUUUUCAUGUGUUCCUAAUGAAUCCGAGACAUUUUUUCGCAAUAUCCCUAUUAUGGUUGUUCCAAAUGGGGUGCAACUUAUUGCAUGUGGACAUUCCCACACACUUAUUUCCACCAGGGAUGGAAGAAUUCAUGGAUGGGGUUACAAUAAUUAUGGUCAGGCAGCUAACAAGAAAUCUACAUAUGCUUGGUAUCCAUCACCUGUUGAUUGGUGUGUUGGGGAAGUGCGGAAAAUAGCAGCUGGUGGUGGUCAUUCAGCUGUGUUGACUGAUGCUUGUUCCUUAAAAGAGUUGUGUGAGUUUAGGCUUGCAGAUGGUGUCACUCUAUUAAAUGCUUCUGAGAUCGAGGAUGUUGCUUCCAGAACGGGAUCAGAUGCUUUAGCACGUCUCUGUGAAAAACUGAGGGAACAUAUGCUUGUUGGUGGUGACUGUGAACGCGAAGAUGAUGAGUGAAGAAGCAAUUGAUUUAGCUUCAAGAUGGCUGAUUAUUUUUUCCUGUUGGCCUCUUUUAUCACCAGUUAGGUUAGAAGUGCAAACUCAAAUACUGAUUGAAGCUCGGUAAAUUUAAUUGCUUGGGAACCGCAAUGCUGCUGAUUGAGCUGCUGUGAGUUGAGGAAUGGCUUUGCGCUUAGCUGGUUUCCAUGGUAGGAACCCAUUUGCUCAAGCUGGGGGAGGAUUUUAGCAGACCCUUACUGUAGAUGGUUCAGCAGUGUAGAAGCUCCUUGUCUGGUAGAAUUAGAACUUAGAGUGAAUGUAAAGUACUUCUUGGCUGGUAGAGUUGGUCAAAAUCUAGCUCGUUGUAUAAGAGGCUAAAAAGGGGAGGGCAAGGGGGAAGUGGGUAUUGCCUUGUCCCUGGUGACCUGCUCUAUUUGAGCUUGCUCCUAUUUGUUUGGGGCAACCUUCAUAAAUGGAUAGGUGUCACCAUAUUAAUUAGAUUAGGAGCAAAGGAUGGUUCGUUGUGCCAAAUAGAGCCAAGCGUUUGCCGUCUC